GCAAUAGUGGCUUAUACGUGGGCGGUCGGCUAAUCCCCUGGAAAGGGGGUGAUGCCAAUGGAAACGUUUCAAGCUCUUCAAUUAAUGUUCCUAUUCGGGAUGUUUAUUCUGGCGCUUCUGACGUUUAUCCAAAAAAAAAUAGAUCGCCCUCAGGUGUAAAGGAUGCGAUCUAUUUGACGUGAUCUUUCUAAGCCGACCGCCAUAUAGCGCGGCUAUUGCGAGACCGUAGGCAUUACAGCGUCUGCG
rnacentral:sRNA from 1 species